rnacentral:rRNA from 1 species
GACAGAGGGUGCAAGCGUUGUUCGGAAUUAUUGGGCGUAAAGGGCGCGUAGGCGGCCUUGCAAGUCAGAUGUGAAAUCCCAGGGCUCAACCCUGGACGUGCAUCUGAUACUGCUCGGCUUGAGUCCCGGAGAGGGUGGUGGAAUUCCCAGUGUAGAGGUGAAAUUCGUAGAUAUUGGGAGGAACACCGGUGGCGAAGGCGACCACCUGGACGGAGACUGACGCUGAGGCGCGAAAGCGUGGGGAGCAAACAGG